rnacentral:rRNA from 1 species
GACGAACGCUGGCGGCGUGCCUAACACAUGCAAGUCAUGGGAGAAAGGGGUAGCAAUAUCCCGAGUACACCGGCGCAAGGGUGAGUAACGCGUAGGCAACCUGCCCUAAGGACGGGAACAACUUCGAGAAAUCGAGGCUAAUACCCGAUAAUGCAGCGGCACCGCAUGGUGACAGUUGUUAAAAGCCGUAAGGCGCCUUUGGAUGGGCCUGCGUCCCAUUAGGUAGUUGGCGGGGUAACAGCCCACCAAGCCGACGAUGGGUAGCUGGUCUGAGAGGACGAUCAGCCACACUGGAACUGAGACACGGUCCAGACUCCUACGGGUGGCUG